UGGAUCCAGCCUUUGAUCCUGGCUCAGGAUGAACGCUAGCUACAGGCUUAACACAUGCAAGUCGAGGGGCAGCAUGAACUUAGCUUGCUAAGUUUGAUGGCGACCGGCGCACGGGUGAGUAACACGUAUCCAACCUUCCGUUUACUCAGGGAUAGCCUUUCGAAAGAAAGAUUAAUACCUGAUAGUAUGGUGAGAUUGCAUGAUAACACCAUUAAAGAUUCAUUGGUAAACGAUGGGGAUGCGUUCCAUUAGGUAGUAGGCGGGGUAACGGCCCACCUAGCCAACGAUGGAUAGGGGUUCUGAGAGGAAGGUCCCCCACAUUGGAACUGAGACACGGUCCAAACUCCUACGGGAGGCAGCAGUGAGGAAUAUUGGUCAAUGGGCGCGAGCCUGAACCAGCCAAGUAGCGUGAAGGAUGAAGGUCCUACGGAUUGUAAACUUCUUUUAUAAGGGAAUAAAGUCGCCUACGUGUAGGCGUUUGUAUGUACCUUAUGAAUAAGCAUCGGCUAACUCCGUGCCAGCAGCCGCGGUAAUACGGAGGAUGCGAGCGUUAUCCGGAUUUAUUGGGUUUAAAGGGAGCGUAGACGGAGGAUUAAGUCAGUUGUGAAAGUUUGCGGCUCAACCGUAAAAUUGCAGUUGAUACUGGUCCCCUUGAGUGCAGUUGAGGCAGGCGGAAUUCGUGGUGUAGCGGUGAAAUGCUUAGAUAUCACGAAGAACCCCGAUUGCGAAGGCGGCCUGCUAAGCUGUAACUGACGUUGAUGCUCGAAAGUGUGGGUAUCAAACAGGAUUAGAUACCCUGGUAGUCCACACGGUAAACGAUGGAUACUCGCUGUUGGCGAUAUACUGUCAGCGGCCAAGCGAAAGCAUUAAGUAUCCCACCUGGGGAGUACGCCGGCAACGGUGCAACUCAAAGGAAUUGACGGA
rnacentral:rRNA from 1 species